rnacentral:lncRNA from 1 species
GAGCUCUCACUUCUCUGGUCAGGGUUCUGUCUUUCCUCUGUUUUUUAUAGUGAUACGAUGUGUAUCCCUGGACAUCAAGUGCUGCACUGCAAAUUGUCUCACGAUGCUAAGUACCUCAAGUCCAUUCCUCAGACCUGUAAUUAUCUGGUGCGCCUCAAAAGUUACAUUGCAUUGGAUGCUGGUUUUGAAUUUUGAAAAUUAUCUGAUUUAUUACAGUCUGUAUUAUAUGAUUUUAAAAACUGUGUUAUGUGAAUGCCUGGGGAGUUUGUCUACAACAAGACUUUUGUAUGGUUGGACAAACAAACAAACAAAAAAAAACCCAAAACGCCGCCUUAGACAAAAUCAGACUUUUCUUAAACAUCCGUUCUCCAAAAAUAUUCAUUUCUUCCAUAAACCUCAGCUUUUAUGGGAUACAUGUGAGUAGUCUGUGAGAGACGACAAAGGAUGGAACCUUGUGUGCUGAAGGCUUAACGAAGAAGUUCCCACCUGUGAUGCAAAUCUUGGAUUUAGAGAUAUUUUUUUCUGUCCUAUUCCAAAGGGACAUAAGAAACAAACAAACAUACAAAAUGAACCACUAUCACGCUGUCCAGGUUGAUGUUUCAGAUCCUUGCUUGCUCUGUUGUUGUCUCCCUAGCAAGGCUGCCUGCUAGUGCCAACUAUGGUGUGAACACCUCCCUGCUGGGAACAGGAGUGAAACUGCCAUUUUUAAUUGGGACACUGAAUAAUUUGUGGUGAAUAGCCAUGUAUGCUCAUUACUGAUCAAGGAAGAAUUAGAACCAGUGAAAACUUUCUAAUCCCAUAAUCUUGACUCAUCUAUUUAUAUCGCAUUGUACUUUUAUUUUAUUUUACUUUGUUUUGUUUUAUUAUUUUUAGCUGGUCAAGGGGAAGGUUUAACUUCAUUAAACCUAAAAAGCAAUGUGGAUUUCUGGGGAAAAAAUACCUUUUUAGUAUGUUAGAUUUCAGCCACUGUUUGAGAUGCCCUCUCAGACAAAGCAGAUAAUGCAGGAGCAAGUUUCAGUUAAAUAGAGAACAUUCUUGCAUUGUUGAUUACUAAAUAAUAAUCAAGUGUUUUUGGGUUUUGAUUCUCUCUCUUGUUCUCUUAGACUAUUAUUGGAUUGUGGAAUGAACUAUAUAUUUGUGGGAUCUUAAAGAAUCAUCAGGAAUUUGAAGACUUUUGGAUGCUGAUUCCAAAGGGCUGCCACACUUCACAGCUUAAAGAUAAACUUGGGGAUAUAAAAUGAAAAAGAUGGAGGUCGUGAAUGUUUGUUCAUAACUGAAUGUUUAGGGAGUUUAGAUUUAAAAACAAAAGAAAAGGUUUCAAAAACUGGCAGCAACGUGACAGCAAGAAAAAAAAAAGGUGAUGUUCAUGAUUGACUCGGCUGUAGUAUUGAGGUGAUUACUCAAGUACAGUAGUCUUUGUUGGGUUGGGAUGAGAAUUACUGGGACUUUUGGUUGUGAUAAUUUUCAUAAAGCUCACUCAUUUUGAUCCUCUUUAAAGUCAUUGAAAUAUGUUGAUAGUUAAUAUUUUGUUAUCUUGCUCCUUUCUUAAGCAUUCCCUAUUUUUUUU